rnacentral:rRNA from 1 species
GAUGAACGCUGGCGGCGUGCCUAAUACAUGCAAGUCGAGCGAACAGACGAGGAGCUUGCUCCUCUGACGUUAGCGGCGGACGGAUGAGUAACACGUGGAUAACCUACCUAUAAGACUGGGAUAACUUCGGGAAACCGGAGCUAAUACCGGAUAAUAUAUUGAACCGCAUGGUUCAAUAGUGAAAGACGGUUUUGCUGUCACUUAUAGAUGGAUCCGCGCCGCAUUAGCUAGUUGGUAAGGUAACGGCUUACCAAGGCAACGAUGCGUAGCCGACCUGAGAGGGUGAUCGGCCACACUGGAACUGAGACACGGUCCAGACUCCUACGGGAGGCAGCAGUAGGGAAUCUUCCGCAAUGGGCGAAAGCUUGACGGAGCAACGCCGCGUGAGUGAUGAAGGUCUUCGGAUCGUAAAACUCUGUUAUUAGGGAAGAACAAAUGUGUAAGUAACUAUGCACGUCUUGACGGUACCUAAUUAGAAAGCCACGGCUAACUACGUG